UGUCUCUGCGUUGUGCUGAAACCUGUAGUUUGAUCGACACCGUUACGAUCGACAGACACAAUGGAGAAAUCGGUUUUCUUCUUCUGUGUGUUUUCAUGUUGGAUUAUGCAAAUCACAUCCAAUGGUAAAUAUACUCUAUUUCAGACAUUAUGAAAUUAAAUAACUAUUAUUAUGAGCAUGGUCUAAAAGGAUCUGUUUUUAUAAUGUCUCUCCAGAUGCGUCAGUACGAGGGUCUUAUGAUCUGCUGAGGGUUCAGAUGGGAGAAAACAUCAGUCUGAACUGCAGCAUGAGAAACCGAUAUGAAGUCGCCUGGUAUCACCUCAAUUCUGAAAAACUAGAUCUAUUGAUUUCUGUGAAGAAAGACAAAACUGGAAGAAAUCUCCUGACCAACUAUGAUCCAAACAGCCCUCGUCUGAAACUUACUGCAGACACAAGGAUCACCAGAGUCUCUCUAGAGAUUUCUGGAGUAACAGAGUCAGAUUUGGGCAUUUAUUUCUGUGGAACAAAGUCUGAUGCUCCAGAGAUGUUCUUCGACAAACCCAUCAGACUAGAGAUCGAGGGUCUUUCUGUAACAGAAAAGCCUAAAGAAGUUGACAUCACAGAUGGAGUGACUACGAUCGAGAGGGCAUUGAUGUUUGGUGGUGUUGGUCUGGCUAUUGUUGUGUUUUUUCUGGCUACAGUCAUUGCAGGAGGAAUCAUUCACUAUCGCGGCUGGCAGAAAGGAUGGAGCGCAGGCAAACGCUCAUCUCUGAUUCAGCACAAAUCGGCUAAAUGA
rnacentral:lncRNA from 1 species